rnacentral:rRNA from 1 species
GUCCACGCCGUAAACGAUGUCGACUAGCCGUUGGGAAACUUGCUUUCUCAGUGGCGUAGCUAACGCGCUAAGUCGACCGCCUGGGGAGUACGGCCGCAAGGUUAAAACUCAAAUGAAUUGACGGGGACCCGCACAAGCGGUGGAGUAUGUGGUUUAAUUCGACGCAACGCGAAGAACCUUACCUGCUCUUGACAUGUCGAGAACUUUCCAGAGAUGGAAGGGUGCCUUCGGGAACUCGAACACAGGUGCUGCAUGGCUGUCGU